rnacentral:lncRNA from 1 species
AAUCAAUUUCUUCCAGCUUUCUAAUAUCUCUCCCAUUAAGCCUUCUGAGGAGAGGAACUACACCUGUUUUAUCUUGGUAACUAGCACUUUGCACCAUGCCUGACACAGAGGAGGUGUUUUAAAACUGUCUUUCAAUGGAUUACCACAGAAAAAAGUUGCUCACCUCUAGAAGAUGCUAGAGCAGGUACAGUGGAAAGAGCAUGGACUUGGAGGGCAGACAAAGGCAUGGACUUCGUGUUGAACUGCAGGUUUGAGCCAAGGAAUGGUGAGGAAUAGAUUUCUCAACAAAGCAAGUGCUCACAUAAGCUGCUGAAGUCUUAAAUGGAGAGCAGAGAUAGCUGGAGUCCUGUGGGUACUUUAAGGGAGUUUCAGGUGUGAGCUCUACAUUAUGCUGAGAUGGCUAUGUACAAGUAUAUCCAGAAUGACGGUGGAUACGUUGAAAGUCCAAUCAACUGUGCUAAAUCUUGAAUCAGUUCUCUCUGUUGCCUUUUGCAGUAAAUAAGGAAAUAUGGAGUAAAAGAGUAAUCUUCCUGCUGAGCAUGUUUUGCGGUUGCCAGCGCUGCCCCGGGUGUGUCUGGAGGAACACUCCCUGUUGCCUAACAACUGCUGUAAUGUAACGGAAAUAGAAGCACGAUGCCACACAUCCCUCAGAAAACGACUUGGCCCUUGGCCCUCCUGUGGAUGAAGAGUAUAUUGAAGAGAAACUGGAUAUUUCUAAAUUUGCUAAGACUCGCUUUUCUCACUUGCUCUCAGAUCACACUACUUUUGAGUAGCCCAAAAUUUUGUUGCCAACUCAGCAAGUUAAGCAAACAAUAUUACAAAUCAUGUUGAAACUGAAGUGGUCCCCAUGGGCCAGUGAGUACGGUGCAGGUGGAGAAAAAAUUAGCUGCUGAGUUAGGACAAACUGCUCCAAUUUUG